UAAUACAUAAGUAACCUGUCCUAGACAGGGGGAUAACUAUUGGAAACGAUAGCUAAGACCGCAUAGGUACGGACACUGCAUGGUGACCGUAUUAAAAGUGCCUCAAAGCACUGGUAGAGGAUGGACUUAUGGCGCAUUAGCUGGUUGGCGGGGUAACGGCCCACCAAGGCGACGAUGCGUAGCCGACCUGAGAGGGUGGCCGGCCACACUGGGACUGAGACACGGCCCAG
rnacentral:rRNA from 1 species